AGUGAACGCUGGCGGCGUGCUUAACACAUGCAAGUCGAACGAGAACGGAAUAUAGCUUGCUAUAUUUGUCAGCUAAGUGGCGCACGGGUGAGUAAUGUAUAGAUAAGCUGCCCUUAAAAAAGGAAUAACAGUUGGAAACGACUGCUAAUGCCCUAUAUGCCUUUAUUACAUAAGUAUGCACGGGAAACGCUUUAGUGCUUAAGGAUGGGUCUGUAUGGUAUCAGCUUGUUGGUGAGGAAAUGGCUCACCAAGGCUAUGACGCCUAACUGGUUUGAGAGGAUGAUCAGUCACACUGGAACUGAGACACGGUCCAGACUCCUACGGGAGGCAGCAGUGGGGAAUAUUGCACGAUGGACGAAAGUCUGAUGCAGCAACGCCGCGUGGAGGAUGACACAUUUCGGUGCGUAAACUCCUUUUAUAUAGGAAGAUAAUGACGGUACUAUAUGAAUAAGCACCGGCUAACUACGUGCCAGCCGCCGCUGUAA
rnacentral:rRNA from 1 species